rnacentral:lncRNA from 1 species
AGAAGGAGGCGUAUGAAGGUAGGCGCAUAAUUCAGAUAGAAAACCCACUUUUCUCCAGUCGUCUGGCUCUUUUAGACGGCAGCAGCCAAUCGGAAGAAGGGGUGUAUUUUGAAGGAGAGAGGUGACCGACUAGUAAGUGUAAGCGGCGUGAGCAUGAAUUACAGGGAAUUACAGAGGCCCUUCCUCCUAGAAAUAGGUGUGAGGCAAAUAUUAAACAUGUUCUUAGCUGGACCAUUUUCCUCUGAGUUUUGCAUUUCUUUUCUCAUGAAUUUGUCAGCGAAAGAUUUAAUCAUUGUGUAACUUUGAACAAUGUAGCAAUUAUAACUUUGAACUGUUUCUCAUGUAAAUUAGCUAAGAAAGGAAACUGCGGGGGGGGGGGGGGGGAAGGAUAGACUGACCUUCAGACUUCCUGUGUGACCCUGGGCAAGCCUUUGCACCUCUCCCUCAGUGGGAGGAAAAGCAAUACCUUUCUGCAGCGCUGUGGAAUUAGAUAAGACGGUGAAACAAAAGGAAGGUCUGGAUCAGACUAGGGUCUGAUUUCUAGCGUGGAAAAGUUAGUCCCUGGGUUACGCCUAUUAGGAGAAGUGGGUAUUUUUAAGAAGCUGAGGUCUAGUCCAGAUUAGCGCCAUAUCUCUGCGGAAGAUACCAAGGAUCUAGCUGGGCCCAUAGUAGCCCAGAUCAGGGGGAGGCGACUGGGGAGGCCCUAACUAUAAGCUGCUGGAGGGCCUCUAUACGCAUUCUGAUGGGUGUGGGGGAUGAUCAUCUAAUACAUCCCUGCUGACCUCCUCCCUGUUCUAAGAACAGUUGAGAAAAAAGACCAGACAGGUGAACACAAAACCUCAGCUUGAUUACCGGUAAUGCAAAAGUAAGAAUGGGUACGCCUGGGUGGCUCAGUCCAUUAAGCAACUAACUCUUGAUUUCGGCUCAGGUCAUGCUCUCACAGUCGGGGGGAAUCAAACCUCCUGGGCUGAAAGCCCGGACCCUGCUUGGGGUUCUCUCUCUCUCUCUCUCUCUCUCAAAAAAAAAACUAAAUAAAAUAAAAUAUUAAAAAUGGGGCUUGAGUUAUAGCCACACAUGGCCCCUAAUAUGUCCCUCCGAUACUCCAGAGCCAAAGGACACCCAGCAUAGGGAGAAAACAAUGGGAUAUCCUGAGGACAGGAGCCCUUGGGACUGAGCCCAGGCAGGGAAGGAUUAAGAGGUAGAGCAAAAGGCAGGAGUCUCCCUUCCAGGGAGGGCAGCAGGAUUCACUCCCUGGGGCCAGUUCCCCUAACAUAAAUAUUGGCUCUUUUGAAGCAGAGUUCAUUUAGUGCACAACUUGACUGUAUACAAGAAGCCAUGCUCAGCCUUGCAGUUGGUAGAUGGUGUUAAUCGGUGGAGAAGACAGACCCGUGCAGGCGAACAGCUUGGCCAAAGUGGCACAGACACAGGUCUGGGAGCUGGAGGGAUUCACCUGUGGCUGCAGUAGCCGAGGAUGCCUGUGGUGAGACAGUUCUCCCAACCCCCUGACUCUUAAAAGACAAAGAGACUGUCUAAGGCCACAGAGAUUGGAAAACACCUUGACCUCUCCAGUUUAGUAGUAUGGCUAUCGCCUCCCCGAGGCACACACCGGAGAUACCAGAGGACUGAGACAAGAAAGGAUGCAGAGAGAGGGAGGUGGAAAGCCCCAGCUACUCCGUCUUUUUCUCUGUUGAUUGAAGGUCCUCGGUCUGGGGCUGCUCCGCCCUCUGAGUUGUUCUUUUUCUGUCCACAGAGGGUGUCACUAGGGGUGUUCUACUGCUUGGCAUGGAGCUUUCACAGCUUCUCCCCACACCACUAGAAGAAAGAUAAGGGUCUUUUUUUGCCUUUGCAGAGAUGGAAGGCACAGCAGAAAGAAAAGAAUUCAGAGACAAGUGACCUGAGUUCAAGUCUGCCCUCGGGUUGAGUUACCCUGAGCAAGCCAUUUAUCCUCUCUUUGUGUCUGAGCAAAUGAGAAAAAUAAUAACAUGGACUUCAGGGCUGAGUGAGAAUUUAAUGAGAUUGUGUUUAUGAACACAAUGAGAAUUUAAUGAGAUAGUGUUUAUGAUCAUUUCUUCAUAAACUAGAAAUAAUCAGGAAAUUCUUCUCCUUCUCCUCCUUCUCCUUCUCCUUCUCCUUCUCCUUCUCCUUCUCCUUCUCCUUCUCCUUCUCCUUCUCCUUCUUCUUCUUCUUCUUUUAUUAAAGCAUUGCUGUGCUCUGUGCCCACUGCCUGGAGAUCUGUCCCUGAUACCAAAGCUGCCUUCCUAACUAGCUGGGGCUCUGGGGAGAUGCUGAAGCCCAGUGACCUAGGAAUAACAAGACAACUGAAACCCCAGCUGGGGAUUCCUCCUGGAGUUACAUGGGCCACUUAGGCCUCGGGGCACACAAGGACAACAAGGACGUGUAUGUGUGCGUGUGCACAGAGAUCGCAUAAACUGCACACAGUACCCGGAAAACACGCACCUACGUAAACACAAACAUAUCGGCAUGGUGUGCCUGGCAUGUAACACAGAAUAAAUGCCUAACAGAUGCGUAAUAACCGGGAGUGAGCUCGCGUAAAGGAAGAAGCACUAGGCAAGAGAUCUAGUCUAAAGUUCCUUUGCUGACCAACUAGCCAUACAACCUCACUGAAGUCCCUUGCCCUCUCAGUUCCUUCUUUCUCAUCUGUGAAAUAGUGAUAAAACAUUUGUCCUGCCUGCCUCACAAAACUACUGUAAGAAUAAAAUAAAUGAUUUUCCCUUAGGACGCACAAGUCCAAAGUCCUAUUUUUAUAAUUCCAAGCCCUCAGCCACGUGUAAUGAACUUCUUAAGCAGUUUUUAUGGAUGUGUAGAAGCACUUCAAAAGUUAAAGCUCUAUGCAGAUAGAAAGCACUAUUUUUGUCUAUUAUUGACAUACAGACAUAUGCCAUGUGAUAUUGUACAAUUUAAAGACCUCAUUGAGGGGCGCCUGGGUGGCGCAGUCGGUUAAGCGUCUGACUUCAGCCAGGUCACGAUCUCGCGGUCGAUCUCGCGGUCCGUGAGUUCGAGCCCCGCGUCAGGCUCUGGGCUGAUGGCUCAGAGCCUGGAGCCUGUUUCCGAUUCUGUGUCUCCCUCUCUCUCUGCCCCUCCCCCAUUCAUGCUCUGUCUCUCUCUCUCUCCCAAAAAAAAUAAAUAAACGUUAAAGACCUCAUUGCAUAGAGUCAGAUUAAUUAUAAUCCUUGAUUCACAACACAGCCCCAACAUUGGAUCAUUGGUCCAGGUAUCUCCGCUUUUAUUUGGUUAUUCAUUAUUUUUAACAACGCAAGAGUCUCCUGUGAAUCUCCUGCCCAAAAUAAAAACGAGGGCUUUGACAAUGAAAUAACUAGGUGGUUUCUCCAUCCCCAUACCACCCCACCUCUGUUUCCACCGUCAAAGAGAACCAUUAUCUAGAAUCCCGUGUUCACCAUUCCCUUGUUUUCCUCAGUUUUCUCUUGCUUUCCAUAAUUUUAUUUCAUAAGGUAUAAGUGUCUGACCUUCAUAAAAGAAAAAAAACUAAUAGUGUCUUAAAAGGGAGGUGGAUAAGAAUGACAUUAUUAACAAGAUGAGGUUAAAAUAAACAUCUGGUGAUGGGUUUCAAAGUAUUCUCCACAUUCUCAUGGAGAUGAUGAUGAUGAUGGUGAUGGUAAUGGUGAUGAUUGGGUGCUUACUCUGUGCAUCAUCUUACUUACAUCUCAUAAAGAUCUGUGGCAGAUUGCUAGGUAUUUGAGCCAAUACCCAUUUCCCCCUCUUUAAUAGUAAAGACCUUCCAAUGUUUGGCUAAGCACAUGACUUCCUGGACUAAAAAUUACAUUUCCCGGCCUCCAUUACAGCUGGUUGUGUUCAUGAGAUUAAGUUCUAGCCAAUGACUUGUAAAUGGAAGGGGUUGAAAGGUAGAGGUAGUCCUUCUCCUUCUCCUCCUCUUUUCUCUUCCCCAAUGGCUGGAGUGAAAAUUUAAUGGCUGGAGCUUGAGGAGCCAUCUUGGAUCAUGAAAUAGAGGCCAUAGGUUGAGGAUGACAGAACGAAAGGAUAAAAGCAGCAUAUGUCCUGGGAAGCAAGCAUCCAUCAUAUCAACCCUGACACACUUACCGAGACUUUUAUAUAAAAGAGUAAUAAAUGUCCUUCUUGUUAUAGUAACUGAUAUACCAGGUUUUCUAUCACUCCCAAACUUAACUCUUACUUAUCCUACCUAUUAUAUAGCCUUAUGGGGUAUGUACUGUUAUCCUCAUUUAUUUAUUUUUUAGGAAAGGAAACUGAGUCCUAGAGAAAUUAAUAACUUUCCUAGGGUGACAGAGUUAGCAAAGGACAGAACCCAGUUCUUUGUGACCCAAAGUCCAUGAUCAUGGCCCCCAGUCUAAACCCUGAGCAGACAUAUACCCACAAAUCCUUCUUGAUGUCAGAAAGAUAGUAUAUGCCAUUUCUGGGCAGGAAUGGCCCAAAGAGCUAUGGGCUAUAGUUUCCAUUUUCAGAUAUACUUUAAAUCUCCCACAUUUCAAUUUCCUUCAACCUUCUAGUAUAGGUCUAUGUUAAUUUGCAUAGCUUGGUUAUAUUAUGGGAUAAAUAUGACUCCACAGUGAACUCUCUUCUCCAAGCUUCCCCUACCCGGCCUUCACACCAUCAGAGAGUAAACAUCUCCUAUUUUAUUAUGCUGUGACAUUAUGACUGGAUGACAGAGGGUAGGGAUCUAUGGAGGUGAAUUUCUUGAAAAUUUUCAGAUAGCAUGCUCUUGAUGAGACAGAAUCAUCCACUGGCUGUUGGAUACCCAUAGGCACACAUAUAAAGUAGACUUUGUAUCUAAUGCUAGCAUGGCAAAAAGCAGAACAUUGAAGAAAGGGAGCGUGAUUCACAGGAAAAGAUCUGUCCACUGAAAACUCACCGUUGGGAAGGAAAAUGAUUUUGGGACCAGGGAGAGAUAAGCAGUCUUCAUGUCAUAGGCUAGUAAUUCUUUGGUAAAAUGAGGGUCUUCAAUGUCUUCAAGGAUAACAGAUACAGAAGAACCAUUAGUUACAAAAAUUUCUGAAAUCUCUGAAAGUGCUAAGAGCUGGCCCACAGCAAGAAAUUCUACCCAAAGCAAAUGCUGCCGACAAUGCCCUACUUGAGGGCUUCCCAGAGGGGAAGAAAUGCUCUGCUCCCCCACCCCCCGAUGCCUUUGUCUGUACCCCAACCUUUGAGGGUUUAAUGCCAUAGCAGGGAGCAGCUGGACUAGAGGGGAAGAAUGGGAAUGGAAAGAGAAAGAAGGAAGUACCCAGAGGGGAAUGGAAACUUAGCCUCUGCCCAUCAACAAACAUAACAUGUCUAAAGGGACCACAAAUGAGGCUAAUCAGGACUACAAGAUGCCUGAUUAUAAAUUCUGCAGGUUAGUAUGGGAAAUGGAGGGAAAAGAGGUAAAUAUUCUACCACAUUCAAAAUGGCACUAGGCUGUGGUCCCUGUCCCUGUAGUCAGUCUUGCCCCUUCAAACUACCCUGUAUUGAGCAUGUCAGUUACAACUCAGAUGAGCAUUCAGCCUGGAGAGUGAACUGGGGAAGGGAGAAAGGAAAAGGGGACAUCCAGGGACACAACCAGAGUGUGUCAACCCAGGAGGUCAUUUCAUCUUUUCCUGGUAAUCUUGUGUCCCCAGGUUUUUGGUUUUUUGGGUUUUUUUUGCUCCCUCCAUCACUUAAGAAAAGCAUACAGAGAGGCGCCUGGAUGGCCCAGUUGCUUGAGUGUCUGACUCUUGAUUUUGGCUCAGGUUAAGAUUUCACCGUUCGUGGGAUUGAGCCCUGUGUCAGGCUCCACACUGGCAGCUUGGAGCCUGCUUUAGAUUCUCUCUCUCUCUGUCUCUUUCUCUGUCUCUUUCUCUCUCUCAAAAAUAAAUAAGUAAACAUUAAAAAAAAACAAGAAAAGUAAAGUGGGAAGGUAGGAAAGGGGGAGAAGAGGUGUGCUAGCGUGUGUGUGGAAUGUCUAGUGGUUUCCUAAGGGUAUGAUGAUAUUAGCUUCACAUGAGAAGGUAAUUUUCAGGCAGUAGAGCAUGGGGGAAUCAAAUUCUGAGUUCAACUCCCAUCUCCACCACUUACCACUUGCCAUAUUAACCACACCUCAGAACGCACUUUUUAUAAUGAAGGGGGUGAUAAUUCCCUAACUUAAAUACACAUGAAACAUUAUGAACUGUUACCCACACAUAGUAACUGACCUCUAUAAACGUGAGCCGUGAUACUGCAGUAGAUAUUCUCGUGCCAAUUAUCUCCUUCCAUCCUCUCAACAAGGCUGUGAGUAGUAGUAUUUCUGCCAUUUGGAUCACGGAAACCACCGAGGCCCAGAAAGGUUAAAUACCUGGCCGAAGUCAUCACGCUGGAGUGGGAAGAGCCAGACUUCAGACUCAUGCUGUUCCCACAUAUGUCAAAGUCUGUGGUCCUAAAUGCUCUUGUAAGUGGUCCAGCUACCUGACACCUGCCAGGCCUCUCUGGGGAUGCCAUCUCAGCCCGUGUGCAUGGUUCAGGAGAAGGAAACACACUCUGCGGCCUGCAGUUUACUCUGAUUCCAAAGAUUCUCCCUCUAGGAGAGGUAAAGGCAUUGAGUAAAGUCAAUGAAGCAUUAAUGAGUUUGGGAUCCUAGCACGUAUAAGCUUUUGAGGGAGGACCUAAAUAUGUGAGGUAUAUGUAGUACAUAUACUAUGUUUUGUUUUGGUUUUGCUCAUUUCAUGACAGAGGUAGGAGCUAAUUUUUUCCCCACCUAUCUUCUUAGGCUAUGAAAGCUGUAAUACUGUGGAGAUGAAAAGGACAUAUGGCAAUCACCUCAUUUGUCUCCUUCCUCCAAAGACCACAACUAUAGCACCAUAUAGGUAGGUAGGUGUGUGACCCUAAAAACCUCACACUCUCAGGACUUCCGGUGCCUCGUUAUAACACGAGGGUAAGUUUUUCCUUUUGUGUGACCCGUGUAGCACAUGUUGCAGGCAAGUCCCUGUCACUCCUGGAUGCUCACUCGCUGAUGCUGGCAAGGGUCUCCCCACGGUGCUGGAAAGAUAGCUAGAGCCCCGCCC